rnacentral:rRNA from 1 species
CAGUAGCCGCGGUAAUACGAAGGGUGCAAGCGUUAAUCGGAAUUACUGGGCGUAAAGCGCGCGUAGGUGGUUUGGUAAGAUGGAUGUGAAAUCACCGGGCUCAACCUGGGAACUGCAUCCAUAACUGCCUGACUAGAGUACGGUAGAGGGUGGUGGAAUUUCCUGUGUAGCGGUGAAAUGCGUAGAUAUAGGAAGGAACACCAGUGGCGAAGGCGACCACCUGGACUGAUACUGACACUGAGGUGCGAAAGCGUGGGGAGCAAACAGGAUUAGAGACCCCCGUAGUCCCUGUCUCUUAUAC